GAUGAAGAACGUAGUGAAAUGCGAUAAGUAAUGUGAAUUGCAGAAUUCAGUGAACCAUCGAAUCUUUGAACGCACAUUGCUCCCGCCAGUAUUCUGGCGGGCAUGCCUGUCCGAGCGUCAUCUCAACCCUCGAGCCCCCCCGGGGGCUCGGCGUUGGGGACCGGCCCCGCCCCAGGGCGCGCCGCCCCCCAAAUCCAGUGGCGGUCCCGCCGCAGCCUCCCCUGCGCAGUAGCUUGCACACUCGCACCGGAGAGCGGCGCGGCCACGCCGUAAAACCCCCCGACCACGGAGCCCCGGCUCCUGAACGUUGACCUCGGAUCAGGUAGGAAUACACGCUGAACUUAAGCAUAUCAAUAAGCGGAGGA
rnacentral:misc_RNA from 1 species